rnacentral:lncRNA from 1 species
CUGGAUGUACCCACGGGUCUCCUGGAAGGCUUUUCGCUGCGCCACCUCCGCAGGGUAAUGGGUGCAGACCCCCACCACGUUGGUGCAGAGGAAGAUGAGGGCGUUGGCGCUGAGCUGCCGCCACAGCAGCGGCUCGUCGGCGCACAGAUGCCACGUGACGCCGAGCUGCAGCGCGGCCAGCAGCGCCCCGGCCAGCACGGCGGCGCGCAUGCGCACGGGCAGCAGCGCGUAGGCGGCGUAGAUGCAGAGCACGCCCCACCAAACGCCCUCCGCCGCCCCGCGCGGGGCCACCGCGGCCGCUCCCAGCAGCGGCACCGCCGCCAGCAGCCCCAGAGCCGCGUAGCUCAGAGCGCGCACCGCCUCCCGCGGGAACGCGCCCCGCCCGCACAGCACCGCCAGCAGCGCCGCCGCCGCCGCCGCCGCGCUCAGCGCCGCCGCCACCGCCGCGUUGGGGGCGCCGGGCGCGCAGUGCAGCGCCAGCAGCAGAGCGCACAGCAGCGCCUGCAGCCCCAGCAGCACCGCCAGGCGGCGCCGGUCGAGCUGAGCGAAGUAGCGCUGGUAGAGCAGCUCCAGUUUGAGCGACGGGAAACGCCGGGAGCGGAACAGCCGCGGGGCGCGGAGCGGCGCCGUCGGCCGGGGGGGAUCCGCGCCGUCCUCCGCCGCUCCGCCGUCCGCCCGCGGAGGUCCCCGGGGGCGUCGCGGCGGAGGCGGCCGCAGAGCGCGGCGGGGCGGGGCGGCGGUUUGGGGCCGUUGCGGUCCCCCCACGCCGUCUUCCGGUCGUCCGCUUUGGGGGCCAGGAGGGCGCUGAACCACGACAUGCUCCGGCCCCGCACCGCCCCUCUGCUACGCGGCCGUCCGCCCCAUCGCGAUCCCCAUCGCCGGUCCCGGUCCGCCCGCACCGCCCCGCACCGCCCUCCGCCCGGAUCCUCUCCCGGGCGCUCCCGGUCGCGGCCUUAAAGGCGCAGCGGCGGUGCGGUGCGGUGCGGCCCGGUCCGGCGCGGGGGGGUCCGGUGCUGCGGGGGAGGCGCGGGCGGAGCGCUCGGUGCGGGCACACGCGCGGGAGUGACAUGGCGGGGACACGGGGACACGCGCGGCCCUUUGUGCGCGGCCCCGACGCACUCAGACCCCCCCCCAAUGGG